CAGGGUCAAGAAUUCACCGCCACCCCAAUAUGAGACGAGCAGCAAUUUCGGAAGAAAUAGCACCUUGGAUACAAACGCCGUGAACGCAUCCCCAAGCUAUGUGAAUUUCCCGAGGAAUGAACAGAGCGCAAAUAACAAUGUACAGGGUGAAUUCCACACUUAUAUG